UGUUGAAUUUUGAUAAAAAUUCUUUGCUUGACCAAACUUCAGUCUGUCUCCUGAAACUUCUCCUAGGUCCAUCUGUACACAUCCUUGUAAAAUCCAGUUUUUGUAAAAAUCCUGCGAAGUCAGUUUAGCAAAAAGCCCCCAUCCUGUAUAUCUGAACACUCUCAAUAUCUAAUCAGAUGUCUCAUCCUCUACCAUCCCCCAGGUGAUGUCUGAUCACUCUGGCCUGUCUUCAGCAAGAAUCAUGUUAGGUUGGUUUAGC